CGUAGGGUGAACCUGCGGAAGGAUCAUUAAAAAAAGAGAAACGUCCCGUUUUUUUCAUAAGAAUGGGUUCUAUUCCCUUAAACCGUGUCUACAUACCUUUGUUGCUUUGGCAGGCCGCCUUCGGGCGUCGGCUCCGGCUGAUAGUGCCUGCCAGAGGACCCAAACUCUAUGUUUAGUGAUGUCUGAGUACUAUAUAAUAUUUAAAACUUUCAACAACGGAUCUCUUGGUUCUGGCAUCGAUGAAGAACGCAGCGAAAUGCGAUAAGUAAUGUGAAUUGCAGAAUUCAGUGAAUCAUCGAAUCUUUGAACGCACAUUGCGCCCCUUGGUAUUCCGAGGGGCAUGCCUGUUCGAGCGUCAUUAUAACCACUCAAGCCUGGCUUGGUAUUGGGGUUUUCGCGUGUUCGCGGCCCUUAAAAUCAGUGGCGGUGCCGUCUGGCCCUAAGCGUAGUAAUUUCUCUCGCUAUAGGGUUCCGGUGGUUACUUGCCAAAACCCCCCAUUUUUUCUAGGUUGACCUCGGAUCAGGUAGGGAUACCCGCUGAA
rnacentral:sRNA from 1 species